AGAUAUGAGGGAGAUCUGGCUUUGAUAUCUGUCAUCACAUCCAUCACAAGGUAGCUGAGGCUAAUGUGGCUGGCUAGGUAGGCAUCCCCUUCCUUUACUGAUUGAUGCUUUGUGCCCCCCCUCAAAAGCUGCACUUGGUCAAAGUUGCCAUCACCUGCUACAGAAAGGCCAUUCUUCAGUCCAGGGUGCACAAGUAGAUGUGUACUCCUGCUAGAAAUAAGCUCCAAAGGCUAAGAAGAGCCUGAUGUGGGGCCUGGGUGGGGAGCCGCGCCUG
rnacentral:snRNA from 1 species